GAUGAACGCUGGCGGCGUGCCUAAUACAUGCAAGUCGAGCGAAGAGUGGACGGGUGUGUAAAACGUGGGUAACAUCCUAUAAGACUGGGAUAAAUUCGUGAAACCGUUGCUAAACCGGAUACUUAUCGAUGGAUCCGCGCUGCAUUUGCUAGUUGGUCAGGUAACGGCGUACCAAGGCCACGAUGCAUAGCCGACCUGAGAGGGUGAUCGGCCACACUGGAACUGAGACACGGUCCAGACUCCUACGGGAGGCAGCAGUAGGGAAUCUUCCGCAAUGGGCGAAAGCCUGACGCAGCCACGCCGCGUGAGUGAUGAAGGUCUUCGGAUCGUAAAGUUCUGUUAUUAGGGAAGCGUUACCUAAUCAGAAAGCCACGGCUAACUACGUGCCAGCCGCCGCGGUAAUAC
rnacentral:rRNA from 1 species